GACGAACGCUGGCGGCGUGCCUAAUACAUGCAAGUAGAACGCACAGUUUAUACCGUAGCUUGCUACACCAUAAACUGUGAGUUGCGAAAGGGUGAGUAACGCGUAGGUAACCUGCCUGGUAGCGGGGGAUAACUAUUGGAAACGAUAGCUAAUACCGCAUAAUAUUGAUUAUUGCAUGGUAAUUGAUUGAAAGAUGCUAUUGCAUCACUACCAGAUGGACCUGCGUUGUAUUAGCUAGUAGGUGAGGUAACGGCUCACCUAGGCGACGAUACAUAGCCGACCUGAGAGGGUGAUCGGCCACACUGGGACUGAGACACGGCCCAGACUCCUACGGGAGGCAGCAGUAGGGAAUCUUCGGCAAUGGACGAAAGUCUGACCGCGCAACGCCGCGUGAGUGAAGAAGGACUUCGGAUCGUAAAGCUCUGUUGUAAGAGAAGAACGGGUGUGAGAGUGGAAAGUUCACACUGUGACGGUAUCUUAUCAGAAAGGGACGGCUAACUACGUG
rnacentral:rRNA from 1 species